rnacentral:rRNA from 1 species
GACGAACGUUGGCGGCGUGCUUAAUACAUGCAAGUCAACUGAAGCAGUGGUAGCAAUAUCGCUGUGGAGGUGGCGCACGGGGGAGUAACACGUAGGUAAUCUGCCUUCAGGUCUGGCAUAACUCCGGGAAACCGGGGCUAAUAGCAGAUGAUGCAGCGGCUCGACAUCGAGACAGUUGUUAAAGCUAUGGCGCCUGAAGAUGAGCCGGCGUCUGAUUAGCUAGUUGGCGGGGUAACGGCCCACCAAGGCAACGAUCAGUAGCUGGUCUGAGAGGAUGAUCAGCCACACUGGAACUGAGACACGGUCCAGACUCCUACGGGAGGCAGCAGUAAGGAAUAUUGCUCAAUGGGUGAAAUCCUGAAGCAGCAACGCCGCGUGAGGGACGAAGGGCUUUUGCUUGUAAACCUCUGUAGUGAGAGAAAAAAAUCCCAAUCUUUGGGACAUGAUGGUAUCUCAAAAGUAAGCCCCGGCUAACUACGUG